UCAACAUAAUUUUCGCUGUUGGAAUCAUCUUCACCUCGCUGUUCCUUUGUGUGCCACUAUCAUCGUUCCAUCCAUGUCAACCCACUGCCACCAUCAACACCUGACAGACAUGCCCAGUGUGAGUUAAUUUUUUAAUUUUAAUUUAACUCUGUUAAUGAUGGAUAAGUACAUAUGGCAUGAUCUCUACGAGCCGGAAGGUGGUGAAGCCUUGAGUUCUGAUUCUCCUAAGAAACAGAAACUGCAGAGAGUGUGUCAAUACAAUGUUAUACACCUGGAGUAUAGUUUUAUUCUGUUCCUGUCUGAUCAGCAACACCCCAUGUGUCUUAUUUAUAAUGAAGCCAUGAAAUCAUCAAGAUUGCAAGAACACUUCCAUAAAAGACACCCUGAAAAGGCUCCUUAUGGUAUUACUAAGUUUCAGAAGAUGAAAGAAGCAUUUGAAAAGCAUUGCUCACUCAAGUCAUUUGCCAAGAAAGCUAAAAAUGACCUUGAUAGUGGUCUCAUCACUUAUAAUAUUUCCAAAAUGAUAGUGAAGUGUGGAAAAUCAUGAUUUCUUGUGCAACAGAUGGAGCACCAUAUAUAACAGAUCACCAUGCUGGUUUAGUGGCAUUUCUGAAAAAAGAAAUUCCAAGUCUGUUUGCAAUCCAUUGUGUAACUCAUCAUCUCGCAGCCAAGAUCCUCAGCCAGCGACUUUUUUCAAGCAUGAGUCCUAUAAUAUCUGCUACCAACAAAAUUGAAGCUCAUCCAUUAAAUAUCAGAAUAUUUUGCCAGUUAUGCUAAGGUAACAAUGAAGCGUUUGAACAUUUCUUCACACUGAAGUGUCAAAAAAGCUGCUGCUUAAAUCAUUUCUUUGAUCUUUUUGACACUGUGGUUGAAUUUUUGCUCAAAGUUGACAAGAGCUUGGGAAACCAGAUUGAACUUCGAUGUGGAGAUGUGAGCAUACCCAGCCGAUCUGUGUGACAAAAUGAACAUUCUAAAUAUGAAACUGCAGGGUGAGAAUUUCAAUUUGAUCCAUACAAAAAGUGCAGUGUCCACUUUUAUCAGAAAAUUGGAAAUAGAUCAUUGAACAUAGGGAGAAGAAUGAUCUCAGUUUCCCUGCGUGGAAAAUAUGGCACUCUCUAGAUUUGCAGGAGUACUGCUUACACCUGCAGUCACUGAAGGAUUUUUAGAAUCAAGGAUCUGAACGAUCUGGAAAUUCUGGACUGGGGAAUUAACCCAUUCCUUUGAAAUGAACAAGAAGAGAUCUUAUGAGAAGAAAUCAUCAAAAUUCAGAAUGAUGAAGAAGCAAAAAUGCUUUUCAAAAAAUGUCAGCUUUUUGUGAUAUGUGGCUUCACUGUCAUAUGAAGUUUACUGGUCUUUGGAGAAGAGCCAAACUGCUCUUCGCUGCAGUUCCAUCCUCCUACAUUGUUGAAAGAGGCUUCAGUGCAGUGAACCACACACUCACAAAAAACAGAAACCACUUGGACACUGUGGGGACUUUUGCUGUCUCAAUUUGAACCAGAUAUUUCAACUCCUGCUAAAGACCAUCACGCUCAGGGAUCACAUUGAUAUCACGGCUGCUGUACAGCACUCAGAUACCGGGUAAGCUAGGUUUAAAGACAAAUAAAAAACUAAAGCAGAAUCAUUUUCCUCAUGUUAGCAUAUGGUAGACUUGUUUUUACACUAUGAGGACACUGGAAAGUAUAGUGUGCCUAAGAAGGGUGUUGGCAAGCACGAAAGUGUUUUUGGGAGUGCGCUGGGCUAAGAAAGGCUGGGAAACACUGAUCUAAGCACUUCACCAAUGCUGUUUUCAGCAGCACACCUCAAUGUAUACACAUUGACACCAGACACAGGUAAACGUCUGAGAGCACGGUAAUAAUUAUUCAGAAUCUAUGAAUUCCCCACCCUCCCAAAAUCUCAGGUUUGUAGGCCUAUUGAUUAUAUUCAGGAGAGAUUGUGUGCUUCAAAUAUUCACCUAGUACAGUAUUUACACCAGUUGUAAAGAUAAGCCCAGAUGGUAGGGUACUUGGGAUGCUUAUUUUUAUAUAAUCAAUCUAAUGCUGCAGCAUCUCGACAGCAAAUCACAUUAUAAGGGGAACAAGUUAUUAACUACCAAAUGAAAAUAAUAUAUAAUUAUGGAGAAGUAUACAGUAGUUAAUUUGCUGGCGUUCUGCUGAGUUCUUCGCACUUUAAUGGGAGUGGAUUAAAGGAGUCCCCUUAAAUAUCUUAAUUGUUAAGGAAUUUUUUUUAGAUUUACGUGUACAUGUUUUGACUUUAACAGGUUUUGAAUGUCAGGAGUAUUCAAAACAUUAACAUCCUGGAGCAAACAUGAGGAAAUCUGCAGAUGUUGGAAAUUCAAACAACACGCACAAAAUGCUGGUGGUAGGCAGCAUCUACAGGGAGAAGUGAUGUCGACGUUUCGCUUUUAUUGCAAAGGUUUUAUCUUUUGGCAGUUUUGCGUUUGACCCGCCUGAUUCGUGACAACGUUACAUCCACAGUAAGUGGUGCUCAUGUCGGGCUUCGAAAUGUACACCAGGCUAGGAUUUCCCAACGCGAACACUACCGGAUCCGCAAAUAAUUAAUAUGCAUUUACCUCGUGGUAAUUAAAGUACAACUAGUUCGCAGCAAAAUUUGGUUGGCUUCUGCUGCUGUUUCUUUUGUUCAAACCAAGUAAAUAGUCAUUUGAAAUUCAAAUUCAUUUUGACAACUUUCAGCGUAACUCAAGUUACUUGUCGGAACCUUUCUACAUUAUUCUAUCAAAAAAACCCCUGCAUUUCAAGGAAUGAAAAUCCUAUGGAGGAAGUUGAGAGAAUGUUGCCGGAGAGUUUUGCAGAAAAUGACGAAAGCACGCUGAACUUCCAUUGAAUCAGAAAUCAUUGAACACCUGGGUUUCGAUGCGUGGUCUUAAACUAUUUUAAGUAGAAUGAAGCUGCAGAUGAAUACUAACAAAUCGACAAGAAUUCCAAAUUAAAGAUAGAACUCCUUCAAGUGCGCAUUGCCUGGAGCUGCUGGGGGAGAACCGCCCUCUCACCUCAGGUACAUCCCGUUCGCUUUCAUUUGGCAGGGCCGCGGAAAUGAGACCGGCCUGAGAAGUUUUGAACGUUUAGUUAAAACAACGUUUAGCUUUUCCGUUGUUCCGUGCGCAGCUGCUUCCCCUGGUUUAGCGCCAGUGUCGUUGCGCAGGUCGUGCACGUAUUCUGAACCGGGAAAUUGGGCUGAGGUGUGUCUUCCUUUACGGUGGAAUGGCGGGGAGGAUGUCAACCGGCGACUGGGUGCGUCGGUUGUUUGGUCAGUGAUGAGGCCGCCUGGAGCUUCUCUAGACUUUUUGUUGUGACCAUUAUUCCGAAGAAUGUCGAGUUGUCUGGACGCCAGGGAGCCUGGCCCCGAAACCUGCACUUGCAACCCUGCGCUGUUGUUCAGCUUACUAAGAUGCUGUGCCGACAGUAGCAACACGUUUAUCGGAGCGGUUUCAAAGUCCCCAGCUUCACGCUGAGUAUGUGAUGGCCAUUUAAAUUGAACACAGACUUGACCCUUUACUCUACAUCUGGUUAACGUUUGCCUCUGACAAAGGGAAGAUCCGUGCUGAAUUUAAAGGUGGUGGUGGAAGCAAGUUUUGCACCACUUGAUGUCGCUUUCAGGAAGUCUAAAGAUAUUUUCCACAAAAUAAAGCAGUCUUUGGAUAUUUGCAUUUAGAAAUACUGUUCGUUUAGAGUCAUGGAGAGAUUCAGCGCAGAAGCAGACCGUUCAGCCCAUCAAGUCCAAGUCAACCACCAAGCACACAGUUCAAAGGUUCAAUUUAAUGUCAGAGAAAUGUAUACAAAUGCUUUUUACACGGAUCUUAACCUAACCCAUUUUAUUCUCCCCAAGUUCCCAUCAACUUCCUCCAGGUUCUACCACUCAAUUACACAAGGACAAUUUAGAGUGGCCAAUUAACCUAACAACCUACAUGUCUUUAGGAUCUGGGAGGAAACAUCCAGGAGCAAAGUUUAAGAGGGAGAGCUUUGCGGGAACUCGGCUAUAACCGGCACACUAUUCGUGAGUUCGAGAGCUACUACGACACAGGAGGCGGCGCAUAGGUCUGCGAGCAAAGUUUAAAAGGGCGAGCUUUGCGGGACCUCGACUAUAACCGGAGCAUCAAUCGUGAGUCGGAGAGCAGGGAAGGUUCUGGCAUAAAAGGGAGACACUGCCUAGUGGAGCGCUGAUCGUCGGAGAGGUCUGAGUCAGAGUGGGGGGGCUUUAGCUCAUUCGGGCUUCAGCGAGGAAGAAUAUGCAGACUCCACACAGCCAAUUCCUGAGGCUAGGAUUGAACCUGCAUUGUUGGAACUAUGUGGCUGCAGUUCUACUUGCCACACUAUUAUACAACAUGAUGACGUCGACUCGGGCCUGAGAGGCCAGCGUCGGGCAUUUACAUGCCUGACAAGGCGUGGGACGAAAGGCAAUCUCCAUCAAUCAGCAGCAUAAAGGCAAGAUCUAAGUGAUUAUGGGGCAAUCGUGUCAUCAGUAACUCAUCCAUACUGCGAUUUUUGGUGACCUGAAGUCAUGUUAUCUGCUGUGCAUCAGGAAAAGCAAGCUGGGAAAAAAACUUUUAUUUAUUUUGUUACGUAUUCGUGACAUGACAGUGGUACCCUUGUCACGUGACUGGGGUGGAAGCUGUACUGGACUUGAGGUAAUGGUCUUGUGAUGGUGGAGUGAUGUCAUUCUCCCGCCAGUAGAGAUCAUGUGACAGGUUUUUUUUACAGGUUAUAAAAGGAAGACCCCACCCUAUGAGGAGGGGCAGUUCGUAACUGGAUUUGCCAUGUUGACUUCAUGCCGCUGUGUGAUUUAAUGUGAUGACGCAGUUUAGUUGAAGGAUGAAGUUUUUAUCUAAUGCCUAAAGUUUAAAAGGUCAUUGCCAGCAGUUUCUUUACAAUGCUGCUAGUUGAGAAUCAGUGGAGAGUGAAGAUCGGAGUUCGGGAGUUAAAGAUCGAGGAGAAUCGAUUUUCGACGGUGAAACGGGUUCGACCUUGUUUAAUCCUUAUUCGGAAAGAAUUCGUUGACUGUUCUCGUGUUAAUCUCUGCGGGAUAGCAGAAGAUUGAGGACAGUGUGAUAAAGGAAAGGUCAGUGCCUUUAAGCCGUUUCGUUUCGUAAAUUCUUCGUGGGUAAAGUUCAACGUCGGGGACUGAAGCAAGAUGACGUGAAAGAGAAUUUAAAUCAUCUUAAAAAGUCUCUCCUUUAAAUGGACUGUCAGCAUUUUUACCUUUUAGCAAUCCUACUUAAAAGAACUGUUUUUGCAACAUCACUUUAAGAACUGUUUGAGCUGCAUCGCUUUAAGAACUGUUUAAGCUGCCGCACAGCAGCUGAUUUCCGGUUACGUUAGUGUUUGUUUACUUUUGGGGGGGUUUGUUUUCAGUGUUUAAUAAACGUGUUGUUUGUUAUAAAAACCCUCGCCAAACUCAUAGGUUUAUUGUUGCCUGAAUACGUAACAGUUUAUUUAUUUAUUUAUUUAUUUACUUACCCCUUUUUUGCCACAUAAAUUCCAUGAGAGCAAAAUUUUGGGUAGUAAUUUGUGGAUAGUGUAAGAGUAAAUCCCAGUUACCUAUAUGCGGUAAUGCUGCCUGCCUAUAUUGUUGUCCUUGUGAUUUUCUUUUGCCUGACUUAUCAUUUAUGCAUCUCUCCCAACCAGACUUCCAUUUCCCAAAUGCAAAGUGCUGAGCUGACUCUGGCACAGCAAUCUCAAGAGGAGUAGGCUUCAAUUAAUAAGGAGACUGGUGGCCAUAAUCUGAUGGCCUUUGAAAACUCUCCAGCUGUCAGCAUUGUCUGGCUUAAACCUGCUGUGUUGUAGGAAAGAUGUGAUUAAGUAGAAAAAGGUGCAGAGAAGAUUUGCAACGGUGGACCUCGGGGACCUGAGUUACGGACAAGGAGAGUCUGGGCAGCCAGGACUUUAUUCCUCGGAGAAAAGGAGACUGAGGCGUGACUUUAUAGACAUGUAUAAAAUCAUGAAGAGCAGUGACAGGGUGAAUGCACAUAGCCUUUUUUAUUGCCAGAGAAGGGGAACUAAAAGGUAGUGGUUCAGGUGAGAGGUGCAAAAGGGACCUUAGGGGGAAAGCUCUUUGCACAGAAAGUGGAGCAUUUAUGAAAUAACUGCUGAGAAAGUGCUUGAGGCAGAUGCAACUGCAACAACAUGGAUAGGAUGGGUUUAGUGGGAUGUGGACCAAAUGUGGGCAUUUGGUGAGGAUAUGCUGUACUACACCACAACUGUGAAUUUAGUCAGACUACAGUUUCCUUUCUUCAGUUGCCAGGCUCUUAAGCUCUAGAGUUCCUUCCCUAAAUCUUCUCGCCUUUCUUUCUUCAUGUCAUUCCUUUGAACCUAGCUUUAUUACCUAGCCUAAUGUUUCCUCGUAUGAUGGCAUUGAUGUUUUGUUUGGUAAUGCUGUAAUGCUGCUUUGUUGCACCUUGGGACAUUUUUAUCUAUAUUAAAGAAGUUUAUUAAACUUUUGAGGUUGAGCACUAGAAGCCUCUACAUCUUUAAUUUUUGGAAGAAACUGAACCAUUUCAUUAUUUUUUCAAUUUGUUCUUCAGCUAGAUUGAGUGUCAAGUUAAUGCUUUUCACCUUUAGGUAUUUAGCAAUUGUACAUGUUCUGCCAAUUGUGUAACAUUACAGAAAUAUCAAUGAAAUUGAAAAGUCUUGCUUUGAAUUAUUUGAAACUCAUGUCAACAUAUAGUACAUUCCCAUUGCAUGUGUCAGUAUGAAAGUGCCUUUAGUUCCUAAAACUUACCUUGUUAUGGUUAACAUUGUCAACAUAUUAACAAUGAACAGUAAAGCUCUUAGAGGGUAAUAGCCAAUAACCAGUUCUAUAAAUGGCUGAUCUUUCCCACUUAAAGUAUUUUUUAUACAGUGUCAUAAGUUUUAAAACACAAUAACAAGCUCUUUAGCUCACCGCGUUAGUGCCGCCUAUCAUGCCUGUCUAUACUAAUCCAACCUUCCUCCGUUAACUCCAUAUUCUUCUAUGCUUUGCUCAUACAGAUACUUUUACAGAUGCUUUUUUAAGUGUUCCAAUAACCAACUACUCUUUGUGUGGAAAAAAUUUAUCCCACGAAUCUCUUUUAAACCUCUUCCCUGAUAUCUUGAACCAAUGCCCUUUAGUUCUGGACACUGACCAUGGGAAGCAGAGUCUGAUGAUCCUAUCUCUACCAGUUUAUAAACCAGUUCUUCACCUGUAAAUGUAUUGAGGUUUGUCUACUGUAUCUGGUGCUCCAAAUGCAGCCACCUCUACAUCAGUGAGACCCGGUGUUGAUUGGGGAACCACUUUAUGGAAUACCUUCACUCUAUCUACAAAAAGCAGGAUUUCCUAGUGGCCAACCAUUUUAAUUCCAAUCCUCGUUCCCAUUUCUAUAUGUUGGUCUAUGGCCUCCGCUACUGCCAUGAUGAGGCAACUGUUAGGUUGGAAGAGCAGCAGUUCAUAUUUCAUCUGGAUAGCCUGCAACCUGAUGGUGAUGUUGUAUAUUUAAUAUAUCAGUAAUAUUUGAGUAAAAUUGAAAACAGUGUUUCAAACAUUCUGUUGUUUAAAUAAUUCAUUAAGACUAUAUGUAAGAAGUACUUGAAUAGCCAAUGUCAUUACUCCAAUGCAUCAUUUGCUUAAAGUAAUAAACGUACACAACUUAUCUCCCACUCCCUCAUCUUUCUUUCAAUUAUUUUUUUAUGUUCUGGAGUUAUAAGCCAUAAUAGUGAUGAGGAAGUUUUAAAUUAACCCGAAGACGACUACCUACAUGAAGCACAGCUAAACGUUAGAGUCUUUAUUAAAAGGUGCAGUGAG